GUACAGUCCACCCCGGGCUCCCAACCCCCUCCCGGCGGUUCAAGUUUCUGCGCCCGGAGGACGCGGCCUCGGCCAAUCCCCGGGCUACAGGGCGCUUUUAAAAUGCAGGGCUGGCAGCUUCAGCUCAACUUUCCAGGAGAAAAAUGAAGCCUCCAUCCAGACAGGGUUUAUUUGCAUCAUCUACAGGCAGUGGGACCAAGAGUGCCCCGCCAGGACCCACGAGAGCAUCCCUGACAUCCCCCUGGUGCAGUAGAGACACGGUGCCCAGCCGAGGCUGCGGUGGGGGAAGCAGAGUCUGCCUUCUGCACCCUGGCUGCACAGGACAGCAGGAGGUCGAGAGGACCCACUGCUGAGAGGGACUGUCCAAGCCACAGCCCCCUCCCUAAGGGUCCGCAUCCCCGAGUGUCCAGCCGGAAGUGCCAAGUGCCCUAGAACACUCACCAUCCAACAGACGCUGUCCCUGAGCCAGGAUCUCGGAAACGUCAAGUGUCUUUGCUUUUUUAGCUCCGGGGUCGUGACAAACUCUGCUUUGUCAUAAUGACACUAAAACCAAAUCCUGGAUCUCUAACACAGGAAUUCUCUAGCUGCCCAGUGAAAGUAGUUGUGGGUCUUUCAAAAAAUAAAGAUGCACCACCACUCCCCA